rnacentral:rRNA from 1 species
AUGAACAUUGUCCUCCUGACCCGAUGGCUCUGGCGCAUCGCCAAUGGAGAUGGCGGUCUUGGCCUCACCAUCAUCCGGAACAAGUACCUUCGGGGCCAGCCACUCGCAUUCUGUCAGCGAUCUGGUGGUUCCUAGUUUUGGCAGGCCGUCAUCCAGUUGCUACCUGUGCUUCGCAUCGGCACGUCCAUCUUGGUUGGCACCGGGUCCUUGACCCUGUUCUGGUUUGACCGGUGGAUCGGCGACCUCCCCCUGGCCGCGCGGUUUCUAGAGCUCUUUGCCAUUGCGGUGGACCCUCGGGUCUCUGUCGAGACGACCCUUAUUGACUUAGGGCGCCUCGCCUUCCGUCGCCCCUUUGGUCCGCCUGAAAUGGCCGCAUGGGAUGCUCUCCUCCUUGACAUCGCCCUCCUCCCGAUGAACGUUGAGGACAUCCCUAGAUCCAUCUGUUGGCGACUGGAGCCCUCCGGCUGCUUUUCCACUAAACCCCUCUACGCGGCCAUUGCCCCCUCGCCGGCCCUCGAGCCCUUUAGCAUGAUUUGGGAUAUCCGCUUGCCCCUGAAAAUCAGGAUCUUCUUAUGGUAG